rnacentral:tRNA from 1 species
GCUUGUAGUUCAGUGGUAGAGUGCUUGCCUAGCACGUGUGAGGCACUGGGUUUGAUUCUCAGCACUGCA